GAGUCUUAUAUGUCAAGAGGACAGUGGGAGUCUUAAAGGUCUUGAAAGUCUCAAGAAAUAAUCAAGAAUAAAACCUGAAGUUCUUCACUAGCACACGACUUGAGGUUUAUAACCUAUCGUGUUGACAUAUCUGUGCCCAUUCCAGUUAAAGUUGGCUUUGCAUAUGAGUUCUUAGAGUUCUCAGUUUGUUGCAUAACAACUUGGAAGCAAUGGCAGGCCCUUGAGCUGCCAGGUGGCAAGAAGUUAAGAUUGAGUUCAAUCCAUAUGGUUUUGGAUUUGUCAUUAUCUUUGUCUUGUGAUUAUGGUUUGACAAAUUCAUAUGGGUAGGAACUCAUACACCAUAUAAAUCUAAGUGUCAUAAGGUUUCUCUCCGAUUCAUGAAAAUGAUGGUGAGGAAACGCUUUCACUAAGUAGAUUUUACGAAGAUAUCAAUUGUGUUAUUUGCAUUUUCAAAAGUCGUUAGUGGAGCGCGUGUGGUUAACCGGCACACUAACAUGGACUUGUGAGAAAUGGCAAAUGCCUAAGCAAUUGAGACCAUGAUUACGGUAUCCCUUUUCAUGGUUCUUGAAAUUGCUUAGACACACAGGUGAGCUAUCUACGGAAAGGGUGUAUGAAUCUAAAUUUCAGACUGUCCAGCUGAUUUCUGAGUACAUGUCAAAGCUAGUGGGAGCAUAAGUGUUAUGCUAAUAAUCAUCAUGUUAGUGGGAGCAUGAUAAUUAUGAUAAGUAUUGCAAGUUAGCAAUGUUAAUUAUAGAAAACAAAAGUUUCAAUUGGGAAAAAGUUGUUUUGCUAUAAUUAAGGGAGAGGAAAUUAUGCUUCAUCUCAAAUCUAUAAGCUUAGAUCGUGAGGUUUUAAUCAUUUAGUCAAGGAUAUAUAUGAAUUUCAUGUUGGAAUGGCUCAACAUAAGGAAAUUCUGUAUAUGGGUCCAUUAUUUGCGUUCUAAAAUUCGAUUAUGAUUACGGCAUCCCUUUUCAUAAUCUGAAUUAUGAGAACUUGGCAAAUUGAAAUGGAAAUAUUAUAGCAAAAGACUGGUUUAGUCUUUAUGUAAGACAUCAUGAAUCGUGUCCCAUAUGCUUCGGAUAUAGGAUCGAUUACAUGUGCUAUAUUCAUCCGUUCUAAAAUUUUCCAAAUGCCUGGGGCAUUAAGAAGGGAAAAGGUUUAGAACUGGAUAUGACUAAAAGGAUUAAACAAUUGUCGAGGACAAUCUAAGGUUUACCAAAGAUUGGUUACUCAAGGACAAUUGGAAGUAUAGUGAUAAUUCUGGAAGGACCAUAUUGACAUAAUCUGUAAGGAGGCAACUCUUGUUCAGAAGUGAUAGUCAAAAUGGAAUCUGGAAAUGUUUCAAAGUUAGAAUUUUCAAUCUGUGUAAGAUUAAGGAAACUUAAUGCAAGAAGGAUAUUUCCAAGGAGUUGAUCUCCUUUGGAAUACUCUGUAAUGAUUGUUGCCAAGUCUUUGUGACUUUGUGCAUAAUCAUUACAAGAGGAUCAAUGCAUAUAAGUUUAGAAUCUAACAGAUUUCAGUAAAUGGCAUGAAUUUGGAAUUCUUGCAUUUGCAGUAAGGAUUUGGGAGUGUGAAAAGAGAAUCAUUGAAGUUAUGUUCAAUUGAUCUAGUUCACAAAGUAAAGAUCAUAGACAAACAUAGUAUGCAUACUUGGUGUGUGGCAUGACUAGUGUUUAAGAAAACAUAGUGUACAUGCUUGGAGCAUGGGACAACUAUUGUUUUAAAUUCAAGAAUAAAGUUGAUAGCUGAAACAGUAUACAAUGAAUAAUGUGUAAUCAUAUGGUGAUAAAUAAAAGGUGUUUUAUUUAUGUUCAAAGGGUUGAUACCAUAUUGGAUUCAAUUAUUAUUGUGUUUCAUUUUGCAUGUUUUGACUUCCCGAAUAAACUGGGUUAUUCUUCCGGAAUGACUAAGUUAUUCAAACCAUCCACAGUCGGUCAUAUGUUGGAAGUAGAUAUGAAUUAAGACUGUCAUGGGUUGGCUUGUAGAGGUCUAAGGUGUUGGACAAAGGGCUACAACACUCAUGAGUGCUCAUAAGUUCUGAGUAUUGGAUUCAACCCGCGCUCAUUGGAAUCACUUCAUGGAUUUUAUCACGAGUGAUCAUGAGACGAUAAUAUCUUAUAUUCUUCAAACCUAGAGAUAUGAGUUGUUACUAUGAGUUGAUAGUACAUUGAUUGCACGAAAACGCAUUUGGUAACUCGGUGCUAUAAAACGUGCCUUUGUGUAUGAUUCAACAAGUAGUAGAACAAGCCAUAUGAGUCGAAGUUUAUCCAUUCCUUUUACCUUCGGGAUAAAAGCGAUAUCUGUGGGCCCCUCGAUGAUUUGAUGAUGACAAAUGGAAGUGCUCGGCCGGGCCAGGACUGAUUUGAUUUGUUCAAUUAGUCAGUCGUCAUAAAUCGGAAAUCGGGAAACAACAAAUGGACAGAGAGAAUGAUUAUAAUCCAUGUCUCAGUCCAUAUGAUAUCUAGAAUGGAGGAAUAUAUGAUCCCUUAUCUAAUGGACAAGUCAUUGACAAAGGUCAGAGUUCAUCUACAAGGUCAGAGUUCGACAGAAGCUUUUGAGAGCUACGAUUGCCAGUUGGUUCCUGAAGUCAUACGCAAUAAUAGUUUUAGACUUAUCCAAGUGGGAGACUGUUGGAUUAAUGUCUAAGUCCAUAACUAUAAUUGGUAAGACUUGACCCGACCCGGCAUGGUCCAUUUGGGUUGCAUACCAUCAUGCACUUGGAUAGACUAUAAUGAGAGAAAUAAGACACUUAUGGUUAUUAAUAUAUUAUAAGUUCUAGUAUAUUAAUAAUAAGAAUAAUAAGAUUAUUUAAUUAGUAUUGAUCAAGAAUUAAUCUAGGAUUAAUUAAGUGAUCAAAAGAAGACUAAUUAAAUAUAUGGGUUGAUUGUGUAAAUCAUCCAUACUUGUAUAGUGGGCUAAUGCUCCAUGGAUAAUCAAGUUGGGCUAAAACCCAUAGGAUGGUCCAUGGAUGCUCCAUGGUGUAUUUGUACCCAUGGAUCCAAGGAAAUGGAAAGCCAUGACAAUUAAGAGUUUACCCUAAUUGUGUAACUAUAUAAGCAUCUUAUUAUUGAGGAAAAAUCGGCCACUAGUGAUAGUGAAGAAAGGGCUAGCCGAUUUUGAAGAGUGUAGAAUUCUCUCAAGUCAUUCCAAGUGUUUUGAUGAUUGUGAUUCCAUUUGAGGUGUCACACUUGGGGCACUAGGCACUCAAGCUUCAUGAAGACUUUCUACAUCAAAGAGGUAUGUAUUCUAUCUUGUUAUAGUCAUUGUUUUGUAUGCUAGAUUAGGAUAAUACCUUGGAAGUUCUUAUUUGCAUGUAUAAUAGAGAAAACAUAGAUCCAAGGUAUUUAGGGUUGCAUGUACACUUAGGAGUGUUAGAAUGCUCAAAACCCAACAGUGGUAUCAGAGCCUAGGCUUGUUUUCUUGUUAUACCUGCAAUAGAAGCUGAAAAAACGAAUCUGGUGCUGUCUGGCCAUCAGACUCGGCGAGUCCAUCAGGAGACUCGACGAGUCCAUGCCUAAAAAGUGAUGAAUUCGAUCCAACUCGCCGAGUUUGUUCAUGCACUCGACGAGUUGGACCCCCAGACAGCAUAUUUUCGAGUUUUUUGGCUAGAAAUGGACUAGGAACAUUACCCUAAGUUGUUUUUGAACUUAUAAACUUGUUUUUGAUGUGGUAAUGUUCAUGCUAAUCCAUUUUCAAAGAUAAUUGUCAAUAGAUUCAUGUUUUGUAUUAGUUUAAGGUUUAGACUAAUUACAUGAAAAAGUUUGAUUUGAAUUAUCUUGUUCUUAUGAGUUGCUUAGAUUAAUAGAAAUGUUGAGUGAAAUAGUUGUUUUCAAUCCAUUUUAAUCUAAGAGUUGAGUAUAAAAUGUGUUUGUGUAACUUGUCCUCAAGUUACAUGAAGAGUCACAUUAAAGACUCAUAAAACUCAUAAAAGUUGGCAAUGGUUACAAAAUGAAGAGUCUUGUGUCAUUGAAUAAUUUUUUUUGACUCCAUAACUUGUCCUCAAGUUAUGGAAGUUCAAGAGUCACUUCAUUAAAGAAAAAUAUGUAACCAUAAUUAAAUCCAUAAGUUAUAAAAUAAAGAAAAAGUUAGUUCUUUUAUUAGUUUAAAGUCUUCCAUAACUUGUCCUCAAGUUAUGGAACUUGAAGAGUUUUUGGAUUAAAACUACUUUAAACACAUAAGUUAUGGAAUUAAUUAGUUUUGAAUAGUUUCAAAACUUGCCCUCAAGUUUUGGAAUUUGAAAAGUUUUCAAGUAUGAAUACUUUAAUUCCAAGUUAGCCCUUAGAAUUUUAAAAGUUAAAAUUCAACCCUUAUACUUUAUAAUAUUAUAAGUUAAUAAUAUAUAUAUGUAUAAGAGUAAAGUCAGUCUUACCGCUAGUACGCCUCAUUCACGAAGCCGGUCUAUAAGGUGGGUAUAAGGUUGUUGCCUAUAAAAUGGCAACUUAAUGGGUGUCCACUCUCACCCACCGCUUGCUUGACUGGUGGAGGGUCGUUAGCCGAACGGGUUUGACAGGACUAGAAUUCUCCCUUCAUUAAAAGUAUUAAUGAUAAUACUAAGUAACUAAACUCUUAAUAAUACCCAAUCUUAGUUACUUAGGAAAAAUGUGAAUAAGGUGCUAAUCCAUGAAAUUACACUUUACACUUUGUCUAAGUCGUUAGUGGAGCGUGUGUGGUUAACCGGCACACUAACUUGGACUUAACAAGGUAGGUAAAGGGUGACUUAAUAUUUAUCAUAGUAUCGAUGGAGCGUGUGUGGUUAACCGGCACAUCGAUUGAGGGGUAAUUUAUUAAGGGUACCAAGUGAUUUGCAUGGUUACUUCACACCUUGUUUUGUGAUCCUCGGCAUCCCAGUCACAAAACCUGAAGGGCACACUCGAGAUUGAAACAUGCCUUUGAAAAGUUCAAUGAAUCUCAAAGAUCUAGGAGUUUCAAAACCAAUUAAAACCUAAUAAUACAUUUCGUUUAUCUUGGUGGAAAUUGGUGAAUCGUCAUUCACCUACCUUCAAAUAUUUUAUAGCUUGGAUUACGGCAUACCUCUUCUAAGUUAUAAAAUAGUUUGUUGGGUCCUAGCCUUAAUAUUUCAUAUUGGGUGUCAUAUUAAGGACUUUAAAUCAACUAUCUUGAAUAUCUCCCAAAAGAUGUCUGGUUUAGACACCUAUGAUCUUCCCAAAUCUCUUGAAACAAGGUUUCCUAAUGAAGAUGAUGUCCCAUGGAUAUCAUACUUCUUCACCUCUUCAAAUUAUUCUCCCUAACCCACAAGUUCUUGAAAAGUUUAAGGUCACUCAGGCCCUAUUAGCAAGGCAAGGUCUAGGUGUGGUCACAUCUUGGAGAUGUAGUCACAUAUUGACAAGCCGGGAGAGUUGGGUGUCAAAGUCUUGAGAAAGUUGGUGGUUCAACCACUUUCUAAGUCACAUAGUGAGUUCCUUUGGGACACCUAUGAAACAGACUAUGACAAGACCCUUAAUGAUCUUAUCUAUUUGCUAAGAUCAACUUCCUAAAACUUUAUGGACAUUGACAAUGAUGACAUUGGAUAUCCAGUAAAGCAUUCUCUUCCCAAUGGAAAGGGAUCGGCCAUAGUCAACUCGGUUGACCAAAUGGUAAAGAGAAAAGCUAAGUCUGUGAUAGUCCCGUGUACCAUUAUCAAAGGGUCCAUAUGUUUAUAUUGCCAAAGGAAGGGGCAUUGGUUGCGAAGCUGCCAAAUUUACCUAAGGAUGUUAAAGUCAAUAAGUUUGACUCUACUUCAGGUAAAGUCCACUAUCUAACUCUGUUAAGUUUCUAUUCUGAGAUUCUUGAUACAUGAUGUGACUGGGUCACAUGGUGAUGUUUUAAGAAUCAAAGAAAAGUGAAGAAACUUAAAGAAAGAAUAUGCUGAAUCUGAUGGCGUAGAUGGAUUUCUAUCGCAUAGUUUGAAGAUCGGAUUCUUGAGCUACUUCUUAGGAGUUAUGAGAUAUUGCUUAGGAAUAGAUAACAACAAGUUUUCAUAUGGAUUGUAAGGAUAAGUUUUUCCGCAAAGUUUUAAAAUAAAAGAAAAUUUUUUUGAUUUUAUUUAUUUUAAAAUAUCCUUACAAUGGCUUUUGAGGAAAAAUUGUUGCUUAUAUGAUUCCAUUAAGAGCAAGAGUGGAAAUAUGAAAUUGAUUCUUUCAUUUGUGGUAAUGUCUAGAUUUACCAAAUAAGGAAAGAUUCUCAUCACCCAAGUUUCAAUUGGACCGGAACUUGGAAUCAUGCAAGUUGUAUAGCAUGAUGAAUGAGAACUUUCAAGUUUUGGAAAAUUAAGACUAAUUACUUGUUCACAUGGAUGUGUGAGUCAAGUAAAGGACUAAGGGAUCGAGUACACAUUCUUGUGCACUGAUUAAGUCCACCACUAAAGAUCGAUAAGAAGAAUCAAAUAAGGCAGAAGGAUAAAAGUUUCUCAAAUCUGAAAAGAUGGGAGAGUACUUUAGUAUCAGUUUUGUGAUCAUCUUAAUGAUUAAGAAACCAUAUCAAAAUUAGUUCUCUAAGGAAAUCUUAGUGCAUUCUUAUGACUAAGAAGAGGAACUUGAAUUGUUGAAAUGGUUAAAUCAAGAAGAUGAGUCAUACUUCGUUCCAAUACAAGUCUUAGAGUCAUACUCCAAGAUUGUCAUUUGAGUGACAUGUCUUAAAGAAGGUUUAAAACACUUGUCAAAUGUAAGAGUAAAAGUUUUCUACUCUUGUACAUUUGAAAUUGGUAAGUUGUGAUGUUUUGGAUAAAACAAAGACCAACUUAGGCUAAUUUUGUGAAGUGUUUAUCUUGACUAGAAUCCACACUAUCUCUUGAAUAUUUGACAAGUGAGUCUUAUAUUUCAAAAGGACAGUGGGAGCCUUAAAGGUCUUGAAAGUCUCAAGAACUAAUCAAGAAUAAAACCUGAAGUUCUUCACUAGCACACGACUUGAGGUUCAUAACCUAUCAUGUUGACAUAUUCUGUGCCCAUUCCAGUUAAAGUUGGCUUUGCAUAUGAGUUCUUAGAGUUCUCAAUUUGUUGCACAACAACUUGGAAGCAAUGGCAGGCCCUUGAGCUGCCAGGUGGCAAGAAAUUAAGAUUGAGUUCAGUCCAUAUGAGUUUGGAUUUGUCAUUAUCCUUGUCUUGUGUAUAUGGUUUUGACAAUUCACAUAGAUAAGAACACAUACACCAUUAAAUCUAAGUGUCAUAAGGUUCCUAUCCGUUUCAUGAAAAUGAUGGUGAGGAAACACUUUCACUAAGUUGAUUUUAGCUAGAUAGCAAUUGUGAUAUUUGCAUUCUCAAAGUCGUUAGUGGAGCGCGUGUGGUUAACCGGCACACUAACCUGGACUUGUGAGAAGUGGCAAAAAGGUCUAACCAUUAUGAUUACGGCAUACCUCUUCAUAAUUGUUUAGACUCACAAGUGUGCUAUCUAAGGGAAGGUGUAUGAUUUUGAUACAACUUUAUCAAAACAAUCUAGCAUCAGAAAUCUGAACUUUGGUCAAUGAAGUAUUGAUUUCUAGAAGUCCAGCUGAUUUCUGAGUACAUGUCAAAGCUAGUGGGAGCAUAAGUGUUAUGCUAAUAAUCAUCAUGUUAGUGGGAGCAUGAUAAUUAUGAUAAGUAUUGCAAGUUAGCAAUGUUAAUUAUAGAAAACAAAAGUUUCAAUUGGGAAAAAGUUGUUUUGCUAUAAUUAAGGGAGAGGAAAUUAUGCUUCAUCUCAAAUCUAUAAGCUUAGAUCGUGAGGUUUUAAUCAUUUAGUCAAGGAUAUAUAUGAAUUUCAUGUUGGAAUGGCUCAACAUAAGGAAAUUCUGUAUAUGGGUCCAUUAUUUGCGUUCUAAAAUUCGAUUAUGAUUACGGCAUCCCUUUUCAUAAUCUGAAUUAUGAGAACUUGGCAAAUUGAAAUGGAAAUAUUAUAGCAAAAGACUGGUUUAGUCUUUAUGUAAGACAUCAUGAAUCGUGUCCCAUAUGCUUCGGAUAUAGGAUCGAUUACAUGUGCUAUAUUCAUCCGUUCUAAAAUUUUCCAAAUGCCUGGGGCAUUAAGAAGGGAAAAGGUUUAGAAC
rnacentral:lncRNA from 1 species